rnacentral:rRNA from 1 species
GACGAACGCUGGCGGCGUGCUUAACACAUGCAAGUCGAACGUGAUUUUUGUGGAAAUUCUUUCGGGAAUGGAAAUGAAAUGAAAGUGGCGAACGGGUGAGUAACACGUGAGCAACCUACCUUACACAGGGGGAUAGCCGUUGGAAACGACGAUUAAUACCGCAUGAGACCACAGAAUCGCAUGAUAUAGGGGUCAAAGAUUUAUCGGUGUAAGAAGGGCUCGCGUCUGAUUAGCUAGUUGGAAGGGUAAAGGCCUACCAAGGCGACGAUCAGUAGCCGGUCUGAGAGGAUGAACGGCCACAUUGGAACUGAGACACGGUCCAAACUCCUACGGGAGGCAGCAGUGGGGAAUAUUGCACAAUGGGGGGAACCCUGAUGCAGCGACGCCGCGUGAGCGAAGAAGGUUUUCGAAUCGUAAAGCUCUGUCCUAUGAGAAGAUAAUGACGGUAUCAUAGGAGGAAGCCCCGGCUAAAUACGUGCCAGCAGCCGCGGUAAUACGUAUGGGGCGAGCGUUGUCCGGAAUUAUUGGGCGUAAAGGGUACGUAGGCGGCCUUUUAAGUCAGGUGUGAAAGCGUGAGGCUUAACCUCAUUAAGCACUUGAAACUGGUAGGCUUGAGUGAAGGAGAGGAAAGUGGAAUUCCUAGUGUAGCGGUGAAAUGCGUAGAUAUUAGGAGGAAUACCGGUGGCGAAGGCGACUUUCUGGACUUUUACUGACGCUCAGGUACGAAAGCGUGGGGAGCAAACAGG